rnacentral:ncRNA from 1 species
ACAACUUAUUUUCCGAGAGGUGGAAUGAUAGGGUAACGCCUUGAAACGCCUCCUUAAUACUCCGAAUAGCGUCUCUUGUUGCACACAGGAGGGGUUAUAAGCUCGGUGAAGUCGGCUGAGAGCCACCCUAACGCGUAAUGGCGAGGAAAUGCGAACCAGAGGUGGUCGAGUGGAUGAUAGGCCGGAGUCUACAA